rnacentral:rRNA from 1 species
GACGAACGCUGGCGGCGUGCUUAACACAUGCAAGUCGAACGAUGAAGCCGGAGCUUGCUCUGGUGAAUUAGUGGCGAACGGGUGAGUAACACGUGAGUAACCUGCCCUUGACUCUGGGAUAACUGCGGGAAACUGUAGCUAAUACCGGAUACGACCCUCGGAGGCAUCGCCAGGGGGUGGAAAGAAUUUCGGUCAAGGAUGGACUCGCGGCCUAUCAGCUAGUUGGUGAGGUAACGGCUCACCAAGGCGACGACGGGUAGCCGGCCUGAGAGGGUGACCGGCCACACUGGGACUGGGACACGGCCCAGGCUCCUACGGGAGGCAGCAGUGGGGAAUACUGCACAAUGGGCGCAAGCCUGAUGCAGCAACGCCGCGUGAGGGAUGACGGCCUUCGGGUUGUAAACCUCUUUUAGUAGGGAAGAAGCGAAAGUGACGGUACCUGCAGAAAAAGCACCGGCUAACUACGUGCCAGCCGCCGCCGUAA